rnacentral:rRNA from 1 species
UACGAAGGGGGCUAGCGUUUUUCGGAAUUACUGGGCGUAAAGCGCACGUAGGCGGGUUUGUAAGUUGGGGGUGAAAUCCCGGGGCCCAACCCCGGAACUGCCUUCAAGACUGCAGACCUGGAGGUCAGGAGAGGCGAGCGGAAUACCGAGUGUAGAGGUGAAAUUCGUAGAUAUUCGGUGGAACACCAGUGGCGAAGGCGGCUCGCUGGACUGAUACUGACGCUGAGGUGCGAAAGCGUGGGGAGCAAACAGG